rnacentral:rRNA from 1 species
UACAUAGGGUGCGAGCGUUAAUCGGAAUUAUUGGGCGUAAAGCGCGCGUAGGCGGCUCUUCAAGUCGAUUGUGAAAUCCCCGGGCUUAACCUGGGAACUGCAGUCGAGACUGUCUAGCUAGAGUAUGGGAGAGGGAAGUGGAAUUUCAGGUGUAGCGGUGAAAUGCGUAGAUAUCUGAAGGAACAUCAGUGGCGAAAGCGACUUCCUGGACCAAUACUGACGCUCAUGUGCGAAAGCGUGGGGAGCAAACAGG